AAGAGACACAGAGUAUGGAGUGAUAUGACUCAGAAAUUACAUCGGGCAACGGCAGUGCGAGAUGUUCAGAACGUAAGAGCUAAAACUUCUACAAGCUCAAUAACAUCCACAGCGGAAAAAAGAAGUGAAGGUGAACACCGUUGCGUUGGGGAGGUUCAGGAAGGCAGAGAGGGUGGUCAGCCUGGAGCAGACUCUGGUCAACAGGGACCCCUUCGCGCUGAGCUGGAGUGAGAGCUGCCUGACUGACCCACAUCUCUGCAUGGAGGACCACAGGCCUGAGGUACGGUCAGGAGAGGAGAACCUGGACUUGGACAGCUGGUAUCUGACCCUGGUCUAUACGGGAACCCCUUUGCCCUGAUGAAGGUGAACACCGUUGCACCAGAGGGGCUCAGAGAGCCUGAGAACAUAGCUGCAUCACAUCCCCCAUACACAACACUUGCCUUACCCCACGCAGCAGACCUUGACCUGAUCCCAUCUGUACUCAUCCAAGAUCUCCUGGCCACUGAGAUGGGAAGGUUGUGGAGGGGAUGGAAAGAUGGUAGAGGGACAGCAGACCUUGGGGCAUUUAGCACACUCAAUGUAGCCAAAACUUGUAAUUUACCUACUUAAUUAGAAUAGCCUAUACUAAAAUAGAGUUUAAAAAAUAUACAAAGAGUAUACCGCUAGAGCGGACCUCACUUCUCACUUCACUUCUCUUUUCACUUUAUUAGUGAAAUUCCAUUCUUUACAUUUUCACAUAAUGUCACCUUGAGAUUCUUCCUUUCAUUCAGCUUUUGGGUUACAAGCUUGCAUCCAUAUUGACAUCUAUAUCAUCAGUCCUACAUUUGUGCACCCUUGCAGCCCCACAAAAUCACCAUGGAAAUCAUGCUGGACAUCUGAUUCAAACAAGUUUAUUUUGUUUAUCAUCAUUCUGAAGUAUAUUCCAAUAUUCAUCAUGCUUUUCUUUGUGUUCCUCUGCAAUUUAUGCCUGUUCUGCAAGCUGUGAUUAUUUUCUUGAGGACAGCCUGUAGAGGUUGACUUCAUCAUAAUGUCCUUUUGCGCUGUCAACAUUAUCAACAAAACACCAGUCUCCAAUGGACAAUCAUUGUGCUACGUGAAAAGAACUUGCCCAUCUGUUACAUGCAGUGUGUGCCAUAUCAUCUUCUGUGACUGUCGGUACUGUAUUGUCGGUAGACAAAUGAUAAAUAGAAAAAUAGGUGCUACAUAGAUCUAGUUGAUAUGCUAGUGACAAGCACAACCAGGGAGCUACAAAGCUAGGCUAUGGGGGGCAGAUUUCCGACAGUGUUUGUGCCUCUUAACAGACUCAAAAUGUCAUUACAAGUGCUGUGCAACACAAACAGGAUCCUUACGAGACACCAAUUUGUGUGUUUAACUCAAUAAUUGUGAAGAAACAGUGUACAUCCAGUGUUUGUACAGGUACUCACAUGUCUCUGUUUCCCUCGGUCGCUUCCUGUAGCCUGGAAAAUCCAGACCCUGUUAAUCUAGAAAGAUUAAGGGUCUGGCCACGAAUAA